AUUGAACGCUGGCGGCAUGCCUUACACAUGCAAGUCGAACGGCAGCACGGGAGCAAUCCUGGUGGCGAGUGGCGAACGGGUGAGUAAUAUAUCGGAACGUGCCCAGUCGUGGGGGAUAACGCAGCGAAAGCUGUGCUAAUACCGCAUACGAUCUCUGGAUGAAAGCGGGGGACUCGCAAGAGCCUCGCGCGAUUGGAGCGGCCGAUAUCAGAUUAGCUAGUUGGUGGGGUAAAAGCUCACCAAGGCGACGAUCUGUAGCUGGUCUGAGAGGACGACCAGCCACACUGGAACUGAGACACGGUCCAGACUCCUACGGGAGGCAGCAGUGGGGAAUUUUGGACAAUGGGCGCAAGCCUGAUCCAGCAAUGCCGCGUGCAGGAUGAAGGCCUUCGGGUUGUAAACUGCUUUUGUACGGAACGAAACGGCUCUUUCUAAUAAAGAGGGCUAAUGACGGUACCGUAAGAAUAAGCACCGGCUAACUAC
rnacentral:rRNA from 1 species